rnacentral:tRNA from 1 species
GGUGCGGUGGCUGAGUGGCCGAAAGCACUCGACUUGAAAUCGAGCAGGCCCGCAAGGGCCUCGGGGGUUCGAAUCCUCCCCGCACCG